rnacentral:lncRNA from 1 species
AGGAUUCUUGGAUAAUAAGAGAUAAUACUUUUCAUAGUGUCUACUGUGUGACAGGCACUUUCCAAAUAUUAUCUUACUCAAUCUUCACAAUAACCAUUUUUGUUUUACAAAGCCUUAUUUACAUCUUAGAAUCAAUAUUUUGUAUUGGUUGCAAGGUAGAUGAGCAGUAAGGAUUAGGCAAUUGGGGUUAAGUGACUUGCCUAGGGUCACACAAAGUGUCUGGGCAAGCCUACAGACCAAUGAGGUAAUGAGGAAUCAGAUUCUGCCUCCUUCCUUCCUCUGUCUCCCUCCCACUUUCAGAUAAUCUCUUCAGUUGGUGUCAAGCUGGAAUUCAGUACUGAGAAUACAGUCACACCCUAUGCAGACCUCAGAGCCUUAGAAACAGAUAGAAGUCAAAGGCCAGAACAUGGAGGCAAAAGGUUGGUUAUCUGAGGGAAAGACUCAAAUGACUAUGGCUCCAAAUGUAGGACCAGAGCCAGGAUACCAGUCUACAAGAAAGAAAAAGAGAAAGUCCUGCAUCUUAGAUCCAGAGGCAUCUACUUCAAUCCCUGUAUUUUACAGGUCAGUAAACUGAGACCAAAGAGGGGAACUGUCUCAUCCAUGGUCACACACAUGGUGGAAGAACCAGUGACGGGAAUUUCUCUCAUUCUCACCAAUCUGGAAGAACUAGUUACUAAGAUGGAGAUGAUGAAUAUAAUCUCGACUUCCGGUCAAGAUGGUGGCAUAGAAGCAGCGAAAGUUCAGACCUCAGAAACCCUUCCUUACCGAUUGCAAACAGAGUGCUCCUAG